UUCUGUAGGCUUGUAAUUGCAAGGUCCCUUUCAUGGUUACACUUGUAAUUUGUUUUCUCUUUCUGUACCAAUUUCUUCUGAUCGAGGUUUAUGAAUGUUGCAGAGGCACCCGAACCAAUGGAAACAGAUUUCAUGUCCCAAAUCAUUAUAUCGUUUUUUUCUCUUGACCAUUCAAUUUCUUUGAUAUAAUGUUCCUACUACUCCAAUAUAUGUUUAUUUAUUUAUUUUGUUCUUUUUGGUAGCAGAGAUACUUGUCGAAUCCUUUUGAUUACACAACUGGCUCAAAGUAUUUGUUGGAGUCAACCUACAUCUAGAUUUAGAGGUGUGGAGAAGCCAUGUGCUGCUCUCCAUAAGUAACCAAUUUGGCAUGCUGGCAGAUGUCUGGCAUGUACAUGUGCUGCCUUGUACAUGCAUGUGUUGACCAAAACCCAUUGUACCAAAAGGCAAGAAAGAAAAAAGAUAAAAAUCUUUUGCUUUCUCUGCUUUUACCUUUUUUCAAAUUUUUGCAUUGAAACAUGAAUCUAUUGCUCAUGAAACGAUUUGAAUAUUAAGGUUUCCUUGUAUGUAUCUUUUAGUGGAUAAUUUUAAAUAGUCGAUAUUUUGAUGGUCUUUUCUUGUCUGUAUCCUUUUAAAUCCUUCACUCUCUUACUCAAUUUGUACCACAUUCUAAUUUUGCAGAGAGGAAAUGAUGUUCCGCAUUCACCAGUGACUUAUGCAUAUUUAGUUGUGGAGAUUGAAGGUGCUAAAUUGUUUAUCGAUAAUUAUAUUAAUUGACAGGAUUACCUUCACUUCAACCAUCCAACAUUAUAGCAUGGCAACAGUUAUUGGACUGCAUCUGCGAGUUAAGCUGAUGCGCUGUUUCCCUCCACAUUUCAAGGUGGGUCUUCUUAAUGUGGACGGUUACUACAACUCCCUUCUUACUUUCAUCAAAAAGUUGUGGACGAUGGAUUCAUCAAGCCCAAUCAACGCCACAUAAUCAUGUCCGCACCAAACGCCAAAGAGUUGGUGCAGAAACUAGAGGUCAUGGUGCCCUCCUUUCUAUUCAUCUAAAAGGCGUGUUUGGGUCUCCUUUGU